rnacentral:tRNA from 1 species
GCCUGGCUGGCUCAGUUGGUGGAGCAUGUGUCUUUUGAUCUCGGGGCUGUGAGUUCGAGCCCCACGUUGUGUA